GAGGAAGUAAAGUCGUAACAAGGUUUCCGUAGGUGACCUGCGAGGAUCAUUA
rnacentral:rRNA from 1 species